CCUACGGGAGGCAGCAGUGGGGAAUAUUGCACAAUGGGGGCAACCCUGAUGCAGCAACGCCGCGUGAGUGAAGAAGUAUUUCGGUAUGUAAAGCUCUAUCAGCAGGGAAGAAGAUGACGGUACCUGACCAAGAAGCCCCGGCUAACUACGUGCCAGCAGCCGCGGUAAUACGUAGGGGGCAAGCGUUAUCCGGAUUUACUGGGGGUAACGGGAGCGCAGGCGGCAGUGCAAGUCUGGUGUGAAAGCCCUGGGCCCAACCCCGGGACGUCACUGGAAACUGGGCGGCUAGAGUACUGGAGGGGCAGGCGGAAGUCCGAGUGUAGCGGUGAAAUGCGUAGAUAUUAGGAGGAACACCAGUGGCGAAGGCGACCUGCUGGACAGUAACUGACGUUGAGGCUCGAAAGCGUGGGGAGCAAACAGGAUUAGAUACCCUUGUAGUC
rnacentral:rRNA from 1 species